rnacentral:rRNA from 1 species
GAUGAACGCUGGCGGCGUGCUUAACACAUGCAAGUCGAACGGAAAGGCCAGUGCUUGCACUGGUACUCGAGUGGCGAACGGGUGAGUAACACGUGGGUGAUCUGCCCUGCACUUCGGGAUAAGCUUGGGAAACUGGGUCUAAUACCGGAUAGGACCACUUCGUUGUUGUUGUGGUGGAAAGUUUUUUCGGUGUGGGAUGAGCUCGCGGCCUAUCAGCUUGUUGGUGGGGUAAUGGCCUACCAAGGCGUCGACGGGUAGCCGGCCUGAGAGGGUGUACGGCCACAUUGGGACUGAGAUACGGCCCAGACUCCUACGGGAGGCAGCAGUGGGGAAUAUUGCACAAUGGGCGGAAGCCUGAUGCAGCGACGCCGCGUGGGGGAUGACGGCCUUCGGGUUGUAAACUCCUUUCGCCAAAGACGAAUUUUGACGGUAUUUGGAGAAGAAGCACCGGCUAACUACGUGCCAGCAGCCGCGGUAAUACGUAGGGUGCGAGCGUUGUCCGGAAUUACUGGGCGUAAAGAGCUCGUAGGUGGUUUGUCGCGUCGUUUGUGUAAGCCCAUGGCUUAACUGUGGGACUGCAGGCGAUACGGGCAUAACUUGAGUGCUGUAGGGGAGGCUGGAAUUCCUGGUGUAGCGGUGAAAUGCGCAGAUAUCAGGAGGAACACCGAUGGCGAAGGCAGGUCUCUGGGCAGUUACUGACGCUGAGGAGCGAAAGCAUGGGGAGCGAACAGGAUUAGAUACCCUGGUAGUCCAUGCCGUAAACGGUGGGCGCCAGGUGUGAGUCCCUUCCACGGGGUUCGUGCCGUAGCUAACGCAUUAAGCGCCCCGCCUGGGGAGUACGGCCGCAAGGCUAAAACUCAAAGGAAUUGACGGGGGCCCGCACAAGCGGCGGAGCAUGUGGAUUAAUUCGAUGCAACGCGAAGAACCUUACCUGGGCUUGACAUACACCGGAUCGCUGCAGAGAUGUAGUUUCCCUUGUGGCUGGUGUACAGGUGGUGCAUGGUUGUCGCCAGCUCGUGUCGUGAGAUGUUGGGUUAAGUCCCGCAACGAGCGCAACCCUUGUCUUAUGUUGCCAGCAUUUGGUUGGGGACUCAUGAGAGACUGCCGGGGUUAACUCGGAGGAAGGUGGGGAUGACGUCAAAUCAUCAUGCCCCUUAUGUCCAGGGCUUCACACAUGCUACAAUGGUCGGUACAACGCGCAGCGAGCCUGUGAGGGUGAGCGAAUCGCUGAAAGCCGGUCGUAGUUCGGAUUGGGGUCUGCAACUCGACCCCAUGAAGUCGGAGUCGCUAGUAAUCGCAGAUCAGCAACGCUGCGGUGAAUACGUUCCCGGGCCU